UAUCAAAUAAUAAAUUAUUAUUUUACCAAAACGGAACUUUACAUUGUUACCAUAUUUUUGAUUGUAGAUAUCUGUUUCGCGACUUUAUAAUCUUUACAUUUUUUGUGACAAUGGAUGACAGAGAUAAAGCUCAGCAUAAUAUGAUAUCCAAUUUGCCGCUUUUGUUUGCAAAUGGAUACCCCACGUCGCUUGAAAAAAUAAGCGAAUCACAAUUAGAAAGUUUUAUUCCAUUUAUGGUACAGUGCUCUUUGGGCCAUAUAAACUUACCAAAAAAAAUUGACUGCAGUGAGCCCGAGUGGUGGCCGGAAAACGCACCUUUUGGAAUUCCGUUAAAAAAACCAAACGAUUUUGUUGGGAGCUGGAUGGAAAAAAUGAAAGAAAUUGUAGUAAUUUGCUAUCAAUUUCACAAAAGCUUAUUUUUAUUACGAUUUUGUAAUGAUUUAGCUGCAUAUGAACAUGCAAGCUUAAGAUUUAUAAACAAUUAUAAUUCAACAACCUCGCUAUAUGAUAGAAGAAACAACAAAUUGUUGGUAACAUUUCGGAAUGAAAACAUGGUUUGCUUAAUCGUCCGUCCACUAGCUUCCGUUAUACAGUGCCGCUUUGUGAAUAGGUUUUAGGACACGUACUUAUAAGACAUUUUCGUUGUAGUUUUUUGUCGACCCUAUUCAGUUCAGCGCCACUGCUAUUAUAUGAAUUUUACCUUAAGUGAGUUAGAUUCAGAGAACUGAAGCGGUUUUUAUAGCCGAGUAUUAUUUAGUAUUUUGUUUUUAUACAAUUUCACAUUAU
rnacentral:misc_RNA from 1 species